rnacentral:rRNA from 1 species
UCGAGGGGCAGCGAGUAGAUUGCUUGCAUCUACGUCGGCGACCGGCGCACGGGUGCGUAACGCGUAUGCAACCUACCCAUUACAGGGGGAUAACACUGAGAAAUCGGUACUAAUACCCCAUAACAUCCAGGGAGGCAUCUUCUUGGGUUGAAAACUCCGGUGGUAAUGGAUGGGCAUGCGUUGUAUUAGUUAGUUGGUGGGGUAACGGCUCACCAAGACGACGAUACAUAGGGGGACUGAGAGGUUAACCCCCCACAUUGGUACUGAGACACGGACCAAACUCCUACGGGAGGCAGCAGUGAGGAAUAUUGGUCAAUGGACGCAAGUCUGAACCAGCCAUGCCGCGUGCAGGAAGACGGCUCUAUGAGUUGUAAACUGCUUUUGUACGAGGGUAAACGCAGAUACGUGUAUCUGUCUGAAAGUAUCGUACGAAUAAGGAUCGGCUAACUCCGUGCCAGCAGCCGCGGUAAUACGGAGGAUUCAAGCGUUAUCCGGAUUUAUUGGGUUUAAAGGGUGCGUAGGCGGUCGGAUAAGUUAGAGGUGAAAUCCCGGGGCUCAACUUCGGAAUUGCCUCUGAUACUGUUCGGCUAGAGAGUAGUUGCGGUAGGCGGAAUGUAUGGUGUAGCGGUGAAAUGCUUAGAGAUCAUACAGAACACCGAUUGCGAAGGCAGCUUACCAAGCUACUUCUGACGUUGAGGCACGAAAGCGUGGGGAGCAAACAGGAUUAGAUACCCUGGUAGUCCGCACAGUAAACGAUGGAUGCCAGCUGUCCGGGCCGAAUGGGGCCUGGGUGGCAAAGCGAAAGCGUUAAGCAUCCCACCUGGGGAGUACGCCGGCAACGGUGAAACUCAAAGGAAUUGACGGGGGC